rnacentral:rRNA from 1 species
CUCUUUUUGANNNUAAUNUAAAGUNNGGCCUGCCCACUGANNNNNAAGGGCCGCAGUANNUUGACUGUGCAAAGGUAGCAUAAUCAUUAGUUUUUUAAUUGAAAGNUAGAAUGAAAGGUUUGAUGAAAAAAUUUNUGUUUCAACAUUAUUUUAGAAAACUUUAUUUUUAAGUUAAAAAGGUUAAAUAAUUUUUAAAGACGAGAAGACCCUAUANNGUUUAACUAAUUUUUUAAGAUUUAAUAAUUUGGAAUAAAUUAUUAGUUUUAUUUUUAAGUUUUGUUGGGGUGACAGAAAAAUUGAUUUAACUUUUUUUUUAUAAAUUCAAUAAUAAUUGAUUAUUUGAUCCAUUUAUAUGAUUAAAAGAAUAAAUUACCUUAGGGAUAACAGCGUAAUUUUUUUUAAGAGUUCUUAUUUAAAAAAGAGUUUGCGACCUCGAUGUUGGAUUAAAAUUUAUUUUUGGUGCAGAAGCUAAAAAAUUGGGUCUGUUCGACCUUUAAAAUUUUACAUGAUCUGAGUUUAAACCGGUGUAAGCCAGGUUGGUUUCUAUCUUAAUAAAAAAAAAAUAUUUUAGUACGAAAGGAUUAAAUAUUUUAUUUUUAAUAUUAAAUUGAAUAAAAAUUUUAUUUUGGCAGAAUAGUGCAAAGGAUUUAGAAUCUUUUAAUAUAAUUUUUAAUUAUAAAUAAAAAUUGAUUUAAUUUUAAUUUUAGUAAAUUUCU